GCGUUGGACAAUUGAUAUUGAUAGCUUUUACUGUUUUCAUUUUGUUUACAGAAGUGUAUUUGGUUUUCUUUAAAGUUUCGUAUUACAUGUAUAUCUAUAAAUAUGAUUAACCGCUAUAACUGCCAUUUUCCCUUUUAACCAUGAUUUUCUUUAAUGUCCAGUACAGUAUAUAUAGAAGAGCACCUGGUUACAAAAAUGAACAUAUUUGUGUUUCAGUUUUUGUUUUCUACACAAAACCGGUCUUCUUUUUUUUUUUUAUCUCGUUUGAAUUGUUUUACAUUUGUAAGCUUGGGUCCUUUUAUAGCUUGGUAU
rnacentral:lncRNA from 1 species